rnacentral:misc_RNA from 1 species
CAGAGUUGCAAAACUCCCUAACCAUUGUGAACGUUACCUGAAACCGUUGCUUCGGCGGCGGCCCGGGUUCUCCCCUCCCCUGGGCCCAUCGCGGCGCCCGCCGGAGGAAUCCAAACUCUUGAUAUUUUAUGGCCUCUCUGAGUCGUCUUACUAAUAAGUCA